AUGACUGAGAGCUGUGCCUGGGUCAGUGUGUCAGAUCACAAACUGAAUGCUCCUAGGGGACUGAAAAUCAAACCUAACAACAAGACAGAACUAAGGAACCCUCCUGCUGGACACAAUCCAAAAGGGCUGACAUCUGGAAAAAAAGAAAAAAAUUCAUGGAAUUCAGAAGAUCUUCUCUGGAGUGGUUUUAACAAGUAUCUUAAGGAAAUUUUAGACUACAAAUAAAACUAUUCAAGCAAAGA
rnacentral:lncRNA from 1 species